ACUUAAGCAAAAGAGAAAAAUAAAUAACCUUGACUCCUCUAUCUGAAGUGAAAAGUACCUCUAUUCAAAAUCUCAAUGUGGUGCUGUGAAAAGAAAGGACUGUCCUUUACAUGGCUUAUUUUCCCUUUUGUUUAGAAUCCUGAAUCUUUCCCCAUGAGCGUUGCAAUAGGCAGCGUUCGGGAAAGCACCACACCACGUCCCCUUCGCAGCUGGACUUCCUGGCACCUCCUGGUCUUCAUCGAAGAGCAGAGUCAAGCAGGCAGGAUGCAAAGUUUGCUGAAAAAAUGCAUGGUGGAUACAUUUGGAAAGAAUAUGGCCUCUGCCCCCCUGCACUCUUCCCAUUCCUCCAACACGCCACGAUAGGAUGGAGAGCAGAGGAUUCCCAGCGCUUUGCUGUCUCACCCUGGUUAUCAUCAGUGAGGUUGAUCAUUGAGAUUAGAGGUAACUACUCACUGUGCAGUCAGGGAACAGACUAGAGUGAGGAGCUGGAUUAGCUCUCAACCUGCCGCUAUUUGCCAUGCAUUUUACUUUAGCAGAGUGAUUUCACUGUGGCUGGGAGGAUUUAUUGGGAUAAUGGAUAGCAGUGGUUCUCUGACUUCAGUAUUCACAUCAUAAUCACUUGGGGUAGCUUUUAAAAAUACGAGCACCUGGACCCAUUUUAAACUGUCUGAUUUAAUUAAUCUGCGAAAGGACCUGAUAUUUUUUUUUUUUUGCCAAGGGUGGGACCUGUAUGGGGUGGGGCCUGUAAGAGGUGGAGGUCCGGGAGGUAAGGUGGGGUGAGGUGGAGGGUGUGGCCAGGACCUGGUACUUUUUUUAAAGUCAGCAUCUGUGGUUAUCUCCUAUUUGAAUGCUCCCUCACGUGCAUUCUCUAUUGACCCCAGAGUGUUUCACUAAUUCAAACCUCAGGCUCAAGUGUUGUCAGCACAAGAAAACUCACCUGGAACUGGUUUGCCCCAUUAAGGAAGGUGGUGUGUACCUUGCAAGAUAAAGAGUCAGAAAGGAAAAGAUCUCUGCUUGCCAGUAGAGACACAGCUCAGUAGGCAUUUUGGAUUUUCAUAGCCUCAACCAAUGAAAACAUAUUUAAAAUUUCCACUGGACUUAGAUUAGAAGAGCAAGAACCUGCCACUCCAUCUUGCUAGCUUUAUGUGGGUACCAUGGGGCUCUCUGAGAGGGAUAGGUUCUAUGUAUGACUGCUGUUCUUAGAAGGGCAGCAUACUCCAUUUAAGUGGUCCAAGCCCAGUAGAGCCCCAAUUCACCCAGAGGGUAGGUACUGCAGUAUAAUCAAAACUACCCUUGAAAUACCCUUAUAAACGUAUGAAGAUGGUGGAGCUCUGCUCACACAGCUCAACACAGCUUCUCCUCUAGUAUUGAAACAGAUUGCUGCCUCUUCCCUGAGCCCUUGAGGGAUGGUUGGUGUGUGUUUAAAAAGGGCCAUUUGUACCUAAAAACUAUAACUUUAAUAAAAAAUUCCUACCUAGAGGGCUGAGGAGUUCAAGUUGAGAGAGGCUGUGACCUGGAGGCAAGGAGGCUACGUGAAGGAAGUUUUUCAGAGUUGUCACAGUAGGAGGUGUGGCCUGCUCCAACCCUCUGUACCUUACCUGAAAGCUGAGGGCACAGAUUAACUUUUUGUUGUCGUCGUUUCAUUGUGUAUGUUUUUUUUUAAUUUUAUAUUGAAGUAUAGUGGA